rnacentral:lncRNA from 1 species
CAGCAUAUGGAGGUUCCCAGGCUAGGGGUCUAAUCGGAGCUGUUGCUGCCGGCCUAUGCCAGAGCCACAGCAACGCGGGAUCCAAGCCUCAGCAACACGGGAUCCGACCUACACGCAGCUCACGGCAACGCCAGAUCCUUAACCCACUGAGCAAGGCCAGGGAUAGAAACUGCAACCUCAUGGUUCCUAGUCAGAUUCGUUAACCACUGUGCCACGGCGGGAACUCCCAACCUUGCAUUUCUUUAGACUCUCUUUCUAGUAACCACUGUUGAUCAUCUUCCAAAACCUCAAUAAAGAAAGAGGAUCUAGCUUGAUGCUACAGAACCUGAUGUUUCAGAUAUCUGCUUACAAUUCUGCUUUAGUUGCCUAAACUAAGGUUUAUUAAUCAAUACAAUGCAAUUUUUUAAAAAUUUAAAGCAAAGGUUCAAAGUUUCUGUUUUGACCUACUGAAACGACUAUUUUUUAAGAGAGCAAUUAAUAAAAGGUGGAACUUUGGCUGAAUAUUUCAGUCUGGGCAUACUGAAAAGCAAAUGACAAGAAUUAGAACCAUUCUUAAAACAGUUUCUGAGGUCAAGGUUUCAGACUUACCUAGAAUUCUAAAAUUUUAAUUUCUGUUAUGCAUAAUUUAACAUUCUAUUAAUCAGGAUGUUUAAUCAUUCAGAAGUCUGGUUCCCAAUUUUUACCUCUAACAAGCAGUCUUAUCAUGUGAAAACAUAAGUAGUAGUUGAUGGGAUGUCAAAGUACGUCAGAACACAGUUUUGGAAUCAGAAAGAUGUGGUUUUGAAUCCAUAUAGUCUCAUUUUACAUGUUAGAUACAGGUUCUCUCAGGAGUGGGCUUACUAGCGGGAUGUAUUGCAUGAGUCUAGGAAGAAUUAAUGAGAUCUUAUUUGUAAAGUAGUGAGCACAGAGACCUGUGCUCAGAGAGCUCUCAGUGAGUGUAGCUGUUGCUGUCAUUACCAACUAAGGAUGUAGACUAACAUUGCCAAGUAGGUUCUCAUGGACGGGUUCAUGCAUUCACAAUUUAUGAAUUUUAUGCUCAAUCAUAAGGAACUGGAAUAGGAUGCAGUGGAAGACACAGUGAUGCAUGAGAUAAGGCCCUUGUCCUUAAGAUGCUUAUAAUAUAGACAGAUAAGUAAGAGGCAUACAUAAAGAGUUAGUAUAAUACAAGAAAGUUAAGAAGUGGCCUAUGCCAAGAGAGAAUAGGGGGAUUUACAGAAGCCAAAGACCCCCAGCUUCUGAACACUUGGGGAAGAUUUUAUUGCCAGGGACAAAUGUAGUAGACUCACAAGUGCAGGCUAAGUGAGCUUGGGCGGUGUUGGGCGGCGGGGGGGAGUGGAGGGAGUCUCUGCAGUUUGACUCCGGACUCUGCCAUUUGUUAGUAGUGUGUCCUUGUGCAAGUUACUUGAACUUUCAGUAAGUCAGUGCUUUCAUCCAAAAAUGGCAUUUCUAAUAAUAUCUAAUGGAUAAAUGAGGUAACUUAAAGCAUUUAAAAGACUAUUUGGCACAUAUGGAGUCGUCCCUAAAUGUCAGUGGGAGACUUUCGUGGACACAUACAGCCCACCAGCCAACUACCUGACCUUUACGUGCUGCCUGGCCUUUCUCUUUAGGGGGGUUCUUUUUAGGCAGCAUAAGGCAGAACGAUUCCACCCAUCUCACCUCCCCCACCCCAUCGACCUAAUGCUAGUAGUGUCGAUUAGAAUCAAGAUUACAUGGAUUUGGAAUUGUGACUGAAAGAGGGUUGCGUUCAUCUCCAAGUAAGAAGAGACCUGUUUCAUGUUUCCGUGUAAACUAGGGAGAAGUGUGCAAUACAUUCUGCCAAGUAGAUUAUGCUGCAGAAAAAUUAUAUAUAUAUACACACAUCAUGCAUAUACAUAUAUAUAAACACACACAUACAUGUACAUAUACAUUAUAACCUAUGACCUAGAGAAUGCUCUAAUUACCCUUAUUUGUUUUAGGGUAAUUAGAACAUUCUUUAGGUCAGAAACCUUAGCUUGACUUUCCCAUCCAGGAGUCACAUGUUCUAAAUUUGGGAACUUGAGAAACCCACUCAAAUAAUAGCAGCUUCCAACUAAAAGCCAAUACAAUGUGAUUCCGUCCCUUUGGAUAUCUUUUCUCUGGGAAGAACUGUGUUCCCUUGGUUCUCUUCCUCAGAUGGUCUCUGACUGGGAGAAGGCAGGAUUGAUCCCAAGGGGUAAAUUCAUUAUCACCCUCUGGGAGCUGGGCAACAUUUCAGGAUUUUUUUUUUCUCUUUCCUUGUUCUCUGUCCAGCUCUCUGUCUGACCCUCCAGCCCCUGCUCCGGGAGGACCACUUGCACAUGUUUAUAACCACCACGUUCUUUUGCAUGGGGAUAUGGGAUUCACAUUCUCUCUUCAGAAAGGCAUCGCCAGAGAAACAAUCUCAGUGUUAAUCACAUGUGAGCAUUUGGGACACAGGACAAGAUAUUCCAGUAAUAGUCACAGAAUCUCACCUUUCAAUAAACUCUUGCUGCGGGGAACAUAUGGGUAGAAGAAUCAGGAAAUUUGAGUGAAUCCUGGUUCCUCAUUCUUAGCCAUGUGGCCAUGGACACAAGACUCCACCUCUGGGAGACUCUGUGCUCUCCACAAAGUGCCAAAUGGGGACAAUUAUCACAUCUGCUUCCGAAGUUUACUGUGAGUGUAAGUGAGUCUGUGCAUGAAGAGAGUGCCUGGCACAUUGCAGUUAUCCACUAGGUAUGCAUUAGCCUUGGAGGCAUGUGUGAUAAUGAUUUAGGAGUAUUGGUUAUGAUCCUGAAAAAGUGAAAGUCAUGGUUCAACCAUUCAUUAUAUAGGUGAAUUAAAGAAUAACUUAGCUGAGUCUCCGCUUCCUCAUCUGUCAAAUGACAUAACAAUGUCCACUGAUCAGAAUAGUUAGAACUGUAAAGUGGGAUGGCUCUGAGCACAAGGCCUGAUACAUAUGCUAUAUCCAAUAAUAAUUUUUAUCAUUGUUAUAAUUUUUUUUUUUAGGGGCGCUCCCAGGACAUAUGGAGAUUCCCAAGCUAGGGGUCUAAUCAGAACUAUAGCUGCUGGCCUACACCAUAGCCACAGCAACGCCAGAUCCAAGCCAUGUCUGAGAGCUACACCACAGCUCACAGCAACUCCCAAUCCUUAACCCACUGAGUGAGGCCAGGGAUUGAACCCUCAACCUCAUGGUUCAUAGUGGGAUUUGUUUCUGCUGCGCCACAAUGGGAACUCUGCCAUUGUUCUAAUUGCUAAAAUUAUCGUUACUUCAUGUGCCAUAUUUUUCCAGUUUAUUAAUUUUGUGGCUUCCAGUGUUAUAUACCAAAAAAUUACCAGUGUCAGUGGAUUUUAUUUAAGUGAGAGCAUAAAGUUAAGAAUAUAAAUUCUGAACUCAAAGAGCGGAGUUAGAAUUUUUGUUCCCCUCUUUCUAGCUGUGUAGCUUUAUCUGGACACUUACCCUUCCAAGUAGUUAACUCCAGGAUAUUAGGGGGAUACAGUAUAAUAUGGACAGACAUAUGUAGCCCUGUGCCAGGCACAUAGUAAGCUCUCAAUAA